AACAAGAGGAAACAAGGAAUCAUCUGUCCUCUUGGCUGAACGGACCUUGCCGUAAAACUUCAUUUGUACAGUAAACCAUCACAGUUAAAAGUGAGCUCUCCCGUUCGUAAGAAAUGUCCAAACAGGGGCGCCUGGAGAGACGGAAAGCACAGGAAGGUUUGCUAGUGCUAACCCAGGCAACGGGGAAUGACUGCGAAAAGGCGUGGAGUUUCUUUUUGGGGUGAUGAGAACGUUCUAGAAUUAGAUCGUGGUGAUAGCUGUACAACUUUGUGAAUAGACUUAAAAAAAAAAACAAAACCCACGAAACUACACUUUCAAAUGGUGAAUUCCAUG